UAGGACCCCAGGGAAACCUGGAUUAAUACCGGAUGAGACGGGACCCGCGAAGGCGGGACCCGGGAAAGGCGCUGCGGCGACCGCCGGGGGAUGAGUCUGCGUCCCAUUAGGCUAGACGGCGGGGUGACGGCCACCGUGGCGACGAUGGGUAGCCGGCCUGAGAGGGUGGACGGCCACAUUGGAACUGAGACACGGUCCAGACUCCUACGGGAGGCAGCAGCUAAGAAUCUUCCGCAAUGGGCGGAAGCCUGACGGAGCGACGCCCGCGUGAACGAAGAAGGCCGUGAGGUUGUAAAGUUCUUUUCGGGAGGGGGAACAACCGUGGCAGGGAAUGGCCGCGGGAUGACGUGAAUCCCGGAAUAAGCCCCGGCUAACUACGUGCCAGCCGCAGC
rnacentral:rRNA from 1 species